CAUUUUCAGCUUUUAUUGGGACCAAGCGCUCCCCUUCAGGAGAGGCCAGCAGCACAGCCGUCAGAAAUGGGCACUUACAGGCCCUGUGUGUGGCCCAGGCCACCAGUGCCUGCCUGGGCCACACUGCCUCCCACCCCCAGCGUCGACCCCUUGAGGAACAGUGGGCUCGGCUGGGUGGUAGGUGGCCCAGGCACAGUGCAAGGGCCUUGUGGCGUCGGCCCCAAGGGUCCAUUUCAAGCAGAAGGAGGAGCCUGGCGGGGGCCCUGGCCACAGCCAUGACCCUGCCCUCCGGAACCCAGUGUAGGUCACAAUAACUUAAAAGACACUAUAGACAUCUGGACGUUAUAUAACAGUAUAAGUUACCCAGGCUCCUCAGCAGAGGACGCCGGCCUGUGGACUCGGGGUGUCCUGGGGCUAGGUAAGGGGGGGCAUUCACAGCAGCCCAGAGGCUCGGGGUUUCCCGGAGUUGUCAGGUGUGGGCUGGACAUGGGGUCAGCAAACCCACGGGGGUCACUUGCCCUGGGCCAAUGUUCAGGCUGCUGGGGACACUGGGGGCACAAAGAUCGGUGGGGGUGGCUUAGAGCCAUUCAACCACCUUGGGCAGACCCUACCCUCAAUGUCUGUCUCCUAGGAGCAGAGCAGGGGCCCUGAAAGGGCAGACCCCGGCCUGAGCCAGGCUCCCAUUCCAUUCCCAUCAUCAAGGUUCUGGGAGACAGUGACCGGGAGAGACAGGCCUGCGCCACUUGGGGAGAUGUCUGGACAGCAGCUGUCCCCUCCCUGCCUGCCAGUUUUUCUGGCACUUGGGUCAACCAGAAGGACCUAGACGGGGCUCCGGGAACCUUGAUGGCACCUAGAGGGUGUGCCUCCCCUGAGGCUAUGGUUGGGAAGGGAGUAGCCAGACCUCCCAGGUGGGGGCUGCUGGGCAUCUUCAGGGUGGGCUGGCCAGGGACUAAGGUAGGAGCACCCACUCACAGCAGAAGGGUCUCUGGCAAGUCCUUGCUCAGGCCCUGCUGGGCCUCAGUAUGCCCAUCUGUCAAGUGGAGCCAGCACUCCUGUCCGUACCUCAGCCCAGCCCUACUAUCCCAGAAGUCAGGCUGGCUCUGGGGUGGGACAGACUCUGUAAACUGCAGGUGCCAGGCCAGUGCCCAUUCAGGAACGUGAAGGACUAGGAAGGGGACUGGACACUCCUGGAACCUGGCACAAGUGACAUUUUGAUUUUUAUGAUAUGAUUUCCAAAAGGGAGGGAAGCUGGGCUGUCCUCUGAGUUCCUCCCCUUCUGAUCCCUGACACCUGGGACCUGCAGGGGUGGUGGGGAUAGGACAGGAGGAGACAGGAGAGGGGCACGGGGGCUGGGUGGGUACGGAGCGUGGAUUAGGACUGGCUACGCAUUUGUUAGUGUAGAGAAUCCUCUUCUGAUGCUAA